UGUUCCUGUGUACAGUUUACUUGCAGUCAAGCUCCAGGGACUCACCUGAUCUCUGUGCACAAUAGCCAAGCAAACGAGGAUGUCUUUUCCCUGCUGGGAUCUGCCAGCUCAGCUCCACGGAUCUGGUUGGGUGGUUAUAGGGAUGGCCAGUCCAACAAGUUCAUCUGGAAAGAUGGUUCUGUUUGGGAUUACCAGAAUUGGGUUCCAGGUCAACCAAGCUACACCUCACACACUGAGAACUGUGUGGAGAUGAACUGGAAAA